rnacentral:lncRNA from 1 species
GCCGAGACUGUUUGGGGGAAGAAGCUGACGUGGACUCUUGCUGCUGCUGUCUAGCUUUUCUUCCGCUAGCCCAACCUAUGGCUUCCACAGCUCAAUUUGUGUACUUGUCUACCAGGCCGCCUUCCAAAAAUGUUUCCAAAAAAACCCUGCAAAAGGAAGAAUGAAUUUAGUGAAUAGCAGUUUCUCACGUUGCUCAUCGCUUUGAGAUGCUACUCCGUGCACACUGUUUUAAAAGGAAACUCCCCAUCUUUUGACAUCAAUAGUUUCUCAUCCGGGAUUGGAAAGUAUUUGUAAGAUUCCAAGCUUCACAAGAAAAAGAAGGAAAAAAAAAAAAGCACCACCUCUGGAACAAUCCACUUCUCAGAGUCUCCAUUCCUGUGUGAGGGAAAUUCUUCUUAGAUACAAUCUGAGCCGUGGGAGAACUCCUUGAUUCUUGUUCAGCCUGCUUUCUUGCAUAACCCAGAACCACCUGACCAAUGGUGACACCUCCCACAGUGAACUAGGCCCCUCCACACCAAUCAUUAGUCAAGAAGAAAAUGCUACCUAGAAACUUGACUACAGGCCAAUCUGAUUGGAGCUGUUCCUCAAUAGAGAUUCCCUCUUCCCAGGGUCUUUCAAAGGAACCAAUGGGAGCCAACUAGGAGAGCUUCCAGUGAUCAACAGUGAGAACAUUUGAGGAGGAAAUAACGUGAUGUUGGAGGAUCAGGGUGUAAAACAAACACCUGUGAAUCUGCUGAUACACGCAUGUGGCUGAAUGAGUUAACAGAGAAGAAGGAAGAAACCUCCCAUGCAGAAUUUCAAAUAGUUGCUGUAGAGUCUGUGAAGACACAGGAGCACAGGACUCUGACCCUUGUUAUGGGCUGUGGUUGCUUCCUUCCAAAGAGCACAUUAUAGAAACAGGAGGAAAGAGCACCUUGGUUGUGAUGAAAGCGGCAGAAUCUCCCAGAGCCAGGGCAAGUGAACAAUGA